rnacentral:rRNA from 1 species
GACGAACGCUGGCGGCGUGCUUAACACAUGCAAGUCGAACGGAAAGGCCCUGCUUUUGUGGGGUGCUCGAGUGGCGAACGGGUGAGUAACACGUGAGUAACCUGCCCUUGACUUUGGGAUAACUUCAGGAAACUGGGGCUAAUACCGGAUAGGAGCUCCUGCUGCAUGGUGGGGGUUGGAAAGUUUCGGCGGUUGGGGAUGGACUCGCGGCUUAUCAGCUUGUUGGUGGGGUAGUGGCUUACCAAGGCUUUGACGGGUAGCCGGCCUGAGAGGGUUACCGGCCACAUUGGGACUGAGAUACGGACCAGACUCCUACGGGAGGCAGCAGUGGGGAAUAUUGCACAAUGGGCGGAAGCCUGAUGCAGCAACGCCGCGUGCGGGAUGACGGCCUUCGGGGUGUAAACCGCUUUCGCCUGUGACGAAGCGUGAGUGACGGUAAUGGGUAAAGAAGCACCGGCUAACUACGUG